GAUGAACGCUGGCGGCGUGCCUAAUACAUGCAAGUCGAGCGAACGGACGAGAAGCUUGCUUCUCUGAUGUUAGCGGCGGACGGGUGAGUAACACGUGGAUAACCUACCUAUAAGACUGGGAUAACUUCGGGAAACCGGAGCUAAUACCGGAUGAUAUUUUGAACCGCAUGGUUCAAAAGUGAAAGACGGUCUUGCUGUCACUUAUAGAUGGAUCCGCGCUGCAUUAGCUAGUUGGUAAGGUAACGGCUUAUCAAGGCAACGAUGCAUAGCCGACCUGAGAGGGUGAUCGGCCACACUGGAACUGAGACACGGUCCAGACUCCUACGGGAGGCAGCAGUAGGGAAUCUUCCGCAAUGGGCGAAAGCCUGACGGAGCAACGCCGCGUGAGUGAUGAAGGUCUUCGGAUCGUAAAACUCUGCUAUUAGGGAAGAACAUAUGUGUAAGUAACUGUGCACAUCUUGACGGUACCUAAUCAGAAAGCCACGGCUAACUACGUG
rnacentral:rRNA from 1 species